CGGGCUGUAGCGCAGGGGUAGCGCGCUUCGUUCGGGACGAAGAGGCCGUGGGUUCAAAUCCCGCCAGCCCGA
rnacentral:tRNA from 1 species